AUGCAUGCUACUGUUCCUUGUCACGCCUCGGCUACCUGGCGAGCGAUCAUUGCCGGGAGGGCGGCACUGGAUACUGGCCUACUAAAACGGAUUGGCGAUGGCUCAUCCACGCGCGUGUGGCAGGAUGGAUGGCUACCAGGCAAGCUUUCGUUGCGGCCCACUGCACAGAUCGGUACAUCACCUAUCAAUCUUGUUUCAGACCUGAUCGAUGAUGUGACUUGGUCUUGGAAAGCUGGCCUUGUUCGAGAAAAUUUUAUACCACCGGAUGCUGAUACUAUUUUGAAUAUUCCACUCAGACAAGGAGGUGGUGAUGAUUACUGGGCUUGGGAUCAUGAGAGAUCGGGUUCCUAUACUGUGAAGUCAGCGUAUCAUGCUCUAAUGACUCAUAACGAGCAUUCAGUUCUAGAGGAAGGGGCGGCUGCAGAAUCUUCAGAGAAUAAUAAGCAGUUAUGGACUCGUCUUUGGAAGCUCAAAGUGCUACCUAAGGUGCGUGUGUUCUGGUGGAGGGUCCUCCGUGGCAUUCUUCCAGUGGAGAGCACACUACAGUACAGGCAUAUUGCAACCUUAGCACGAUGCAAGGUGUGCAUGGGAGCUGAUGAAGAUUUGAUGCAUGCUUUGAUCAAGUGUUCACAUGCUCAAACUUUCUGGACAGAAGCUCGAAAAUGGCUGCAGGUCAAGCUACCGGAGUUACACCCUAUGACUUGGUGUAGGGAUAUUCUUUGCGACUCUCGGUUUUCAGAGAGUGAUCGGGCAAAAAUUGUUACUGUCAUGUGGGCUAUUUGGACCUCUCGCAAUAAUAUAACGCAUGACAGAGCAAGUAUGAACCCGGCGCAAUCUCUCAAACGUAUAAGAGAAAAUCUUGCCUUGCUGGAGCUUCCCUUGUAA
rnacentral:rRNA from 1 species